rnacentral:rRNA from 1 species
UACGUAGGGUCCGAGCGUUGUCCGGAAUUAUUGGGCGUAAAGGGCUCGUAGGCGGUUCGUCACGUCGGGAGUGAAAACUCGGAGCUUAACUCCGAGCCUGCUUCCGAUACGGGCAGACUAGAGGUAGGCAGGGGAGAGCGGAACUCCUGGUGUAGCGGUGAAAUGCGUAGAUAUCUGGAGGAACACCGGUGGCGAAGGCGGCAUCCUGGACCGACAUUGACGCUGAGGAGCGAAAGCCAGGGGAGCAAACGGG